GAUGAACGCUGGCGGCGUGCCUAAUACAUGCAAGUCGAGCGAACGGACGAGACGCUUGCUUCUCUGAUGUUAGCGGCGGACGGGUGAGUCACACGUGGAUCCCCUCCCUAUCAUACUGGUAUAACUUCGGGAAACCGUCGCUAAUACCGGAUAAUCUUUUGAACCGCAUUGUUCAAUAGUGAAAUUCGGUCUUGCUGUCACUUAUAGCUGGAUCCGCGCUGCAUUAGAUAGUUGUUAAGUUCACGGCUUAUCAAGGCAACGAUGCAUAGCCGACCGGAGAGGGUGGUAGGCGACACGGGAACUGGAACACGGACAAGAGGACUAAGGGAGGGAGCAGUAGGGAAUGGUACGCAAUGGGCGAAAGCAUGACGGAGCAACGCGGAGUCAGAGAUGAAGGUCUUCGGAGCGGAAAAAUCUGUUAUUAGGGAAGAACAGAUGUGGAAGGAAAUGUGCAGAGAGUGACGGUACCGAAUCAGAAAGCAACGGCUAACUACGUG
rnacentral:rRNA from 1 species